GGCAGGCAGGCCUAACACAUGCAAGUCGAACGCCCCGCAAGGGGAGUGGAGACGGGUGAGUAACACGUGGGAACCUUCCCUAUAGUACGGAAUANCCCAGGGAAACUUGGAGUAAUACCGUAUGCGCCCGACAGGGGAAAGAUUUAUCGCUAUUGGAUGGGCCCGCGUCGGAUUAGCUAGUUGGUGAGGUAANGGCUCACCAAGGCGACGAUCCUUAGCUGGUUUGAGAGAACGACCAGCCACACUGGGACUGAGACACGGCCCAGACUCCUACGGGNGGCAGCAGUGGGGAAUAUUGGACAAUGGGCGCAAGCCUGAUCCAGCCAUGCCGCGUGAGUGAUGAAGGCCUUAGGGUUGUAAAGCUCUUUUGCCGGGGACGANAAUGACGGUACCCGGAGAAUAAGUCCCGGCUAACUUCGUGCCCGCAGCCGCGG
rnacentral:rRNA from 1 species